UACAGAGGUGCCGAGCGUUAGGCGGAAUCACUGGGCUUAAAGCGUGUGUAGGCGGGUCCGUAAGUACCUUGUGAAAUCCCACGGCUCAACCGUGGAACUGCUCGGUAUACUGCGGGUCUUGAGCUGUCUAGGGGCGCCGGAACAAGCGGAUGGAGCGGUGAAAUGCGUAGAUAUCGACUUGGAACGCCAGUGGUGAAAACGGGGUCGCUGGGGGACAUGCUGACGCUGAGACACGAAAGCCAGGGGAGCAAACGGG
rnacentral:rRNA from 1 species